CAAGACUAGAAAGAUCACAUAGAGAUAUCUUUGCACUCUUGGCACUAGUCAGUAUCACUGCGCUUCUGGCAGCCACGUUAAAGUUGUAUGGCAGUGGUGGACACCUGACCUAAAGAGAACCUCAUGAAUUUAUUCCUAACAAGAGCCUUGUUAGUUGUUGGAACCCUGAAGCUACUUUUAUAUCCUGCUGGACAGAAUAGGAAUUGCAUUAAUAAUUCUCCAGACUCAGAAAAUCUGAGCUAUACGUGUCCAUCUCACCACGGAAGGCCAAUAUCAGGGAAAUGGAAGUGGAGAAGAAACAACGCAAG